rnacentral:rRNA from 1 species
GGACGCAUCGUUGACCGACCUAUUCUACUCUUAGGAAGGUUCGAGUAAGAGCGUGUCUGUUGGGACCCGUAAGAUGGUGAACUAUGCCUGAAUAGGGUGAAGCCAGAGUAAACUCUGGUGGAGGCUCGUAGCGAUUUUGACGUGCAAAUCGAUCGUCAAAUUUGGGUAUAGGGG